CUACGGGUGGCAGCAGUGGGGAAUAUUGGACAAUGGGCGAAAGCCUGAUCCAGCCAUGCCGCGUGUGUGAAGAAGGCCUUCGGGUUGUAAAGCACUUUCAGUGGGGAAGAAAGCCUUGGGGCUAAUACCCUCGAGGAAGGACAUCACCCACAGAAGAAGCACCGGCUAACUCCGUGCCAGCAGCCGCGGUAAUACGGAGGGUGCGAGCGUUAAUCGGAAUUACUGGGCGUAAAGCGCGCGUAGGCGGUCUGAUAAGCCGGUUGUGAAAGCCCCGGGCUCAACCUGGGAACGGCAUCCGGAACUGUCAGGCUAGAGUGCAGGAGAGGAAGGUAGAAUUCCCGGUGUAGCGGUGAAAUGCGUAGAGAUCGGGAGGAAUACCAGUGGCGAAGGCGGCCUUCUGGACUGACACUGACGCUGAGGUGCGAAAGCGUGGGUAGCAAACAGGAUUAGAUCCCCCAGUAGUC
rnacentral:rRNA from 1 species